rnacentral:rRNA from 1 species
UACGGGGGGGGCAAGCGUUGUUCGGAAUUACUGGGCGUAAAGGGCUCGUAGGCGGCCAACUAAGUCGGAUGUGAAAUCCCCAGGCUUAACCUGGGAACUGCAUCCGAUACUGGAUGGCUUGAAUCCGGGAGAGGGAUGCAGAAUUCCAGGUGUAGCGGUGAAAUGCGUAGAUAUCUGGAGGAACACCGGUGGCGAAGGCGGCAUCCUGGACCGAAAUUGACGCUGAUGCGCGAAAGCCAGGGGAGCAAACGGG